rnacentral:rRNA from 1 species
GUGACUGCGUACCUUUUGUAUAAUGGGUCAGCGACUUAUAUUCUGUAGCAAGGUUAACCGAAUAGGGGAGCCGAAGGGAAACCGAGUCUUAACUGGGCGUUAAGUUGCAGGGUAUAGACCCGAAACCCGGUGAUCUAGCCAUGGGCAGGUUGAAGGUUGGGUAACACUAACUGGAGGACCGAACCGACUAAUGUUGAAAAAUUAGCGGAUGACUUGUGGCUGGGGGUGAAAGGCCAAUCAAACCGGGAGAUAGCUGGUUCUCCCCGAAAGCUAUUUAGGUAGCGCCUCGUGAAUUCAUCUCCGGGGGUAGAGCACUGUUUCGGCAAGGGGGUCAUCCCGACUUACCAACCCGAUGCAAACUGCGAAUACCGGAGAAUGUUAUCACGGGAGACACACGGCGGGUGCUAACGUCCGUCGUGAAGAGGGAAACAACCCAGACCGCCAGCUAAGGUCCCAAAGUCAUGGUUAAGUGGGAAACGAUGUGGGAAGGCCCAGACAGCCAGGAUGUUGGCUUAGAAGCAGCCAUCAUUUAAAGAAAGCGUAAUAGCUCACUGGUCGAGUCGGCCUGCGCGGAAGAUGUAACGGGGCUAAACCAUGCACCGAAGCUGCGGCAGCGAC